rnacentral:tRNA from 1 species
GCUGGCGUGGCUCAACGGUAGAGCAGCUGAUUUGUAAUCAGCAGGUUGGGAGUUCGAUUCUCUUCGCCAGCUCCA